GUGCAGCAGGCGAGAAUUUUUCUCAAUGGGGGAAACCCUGAAGGAGCGACGCCGCGUGGAGGAUGAAGGUCUUCGGGUUGUAAACUCCUGUCAUUUGGGAACAAGGUGCACGUAUUUACUGUACGAGUAUUGAUAGUACCAGAAGAGGAAGAGACGGCUAACUCUGUGCCAGCAGCCGCGGUAAUACAGAGGUCUCAAGCGUUGUUCGGAUUCAUUGGGCGUAAAGGGUGUGUAGGUGGCGCCGUAAGUCGGGUGUGAAAUCUCGGGGCUUAACUCCGAAACUGCAUUCGAUACUGCGGUGCUUGAGGACUGGAGAGGAGACUGGAAUUCAUGGUGUAGCAGUGAAAUGCGUAGAGAUCAUGAGGAAGACCAGUGGCGAAGGCGGGUCUCUGGACAGUUCCUGACACUGAGCACGAAGGCCAGGGGAGCAAACGGGAUUAGAUACCCCGGUAGU
rnacentral:rRNA from 1 species